GAUGAACGCUGGCGGCGUGCCUAAUACAUGCAAGUCGAGCGAACGGACGAGAAGCUUGCUUCUCUGAUGUUAGCGGCGGACGGGUGAGUAACACGUGGAUAACCUACCUAUAAGACUGGGAUAACUUCGGAAAACCGGAGCUAAUACCGGAUAAUAUUUUGAACCGCAUGGUUCAAAAGUGAAAGACGGUCUUGCUGUCACUUAUAGAUGGAUCCGCGCUGCAUUAGCUAGUUGGUAAGGUAACGGCUUACCAAGGCAACGAUGCAUAGCCGACCUGAGAGGGUGAUCGGCCACACUGGAACUGAGACACGGUCCAGACUCCUACGGGAGGCAGCAGUAGGGAAUCUUCCGCAAAGGGCGAAAGCCUGACGGAGCAACGCCGCGUGAGUGAUGAAGGUCUUCGGAUCGUAAAACUCUGUUAUUAGGGAAGAACAUAUGUGUAAGUAACUGUGCACAUCUUGACGGUACCUAAUCUGAAAGCCACGGCUAACUACGUG
rnacentral:rRNA from 1 species